UUAAUUGAAGAGUUUGAUCAUGGCUCAGAUUGAACGCUGGCGGCAGGCCUAACACAUGCAAGUCGAGCGGAAACGAGAAUAGCUUGCUAUUCGGCGUCGAGCGGCGGACGGGUGAGUAAUGCUUGGGAACGUGCCGUAAGGUGGGGGACAACCAUUGGAAACGAUGGCUAAUACCGCAUAAU
rnacentral:rRNA from 1 species